AUGCAACAUCAUUACACACAGUACAAGGAGUCAGACUGGCAUAUGAGGAGCAAAGGAACCCAGACAGUAGCAUCGUUUCACAAUGUUUCCAUCACCAUCAUCAGUGGAUGCCUUUGCCGUCCGUAGCCUGAGAUUUCAGAUUUGCAGCAAAAAACUUGAUUUUCCCAUUUAUUGGAAUGCUGUGCAGGUUGUACCUUGCAGCCAUCCAUUACAAUGUCACCAAGCCGUAACAAAAGCAGGAGAGGGAAAGUACAAGGCUAUGUUCCCAAAACACACAAGUGACAUACUGUAAGC